AAACACAUUUACUUUUCUGUCAGCAUUACUGUUAUACAAAGGAAUAGAGAAGGGAGAAUUGCAUGUUUUGAUUACAUGGAUGGUAGACUCCUCUUUUAAGUUUAACUCAGAACUGUCAAUCAUUCUCCUAAUGCUUUGCAUUUCCUAAUACAUCAUUUGAAUUAACCUAUGGUUCAUGUAUCCAAGAUAACAUGUACCAAGCUGUAAGUACUUCCCUAGAGCUGUACAUGUUAUCACAGAGUUAGUAAGUUGUUAGAAAAGCUUUUAAGAUUAGAAUUUAAACUUUCUAGUACUAGACUCUUUACUCUUUCUUUUCACAAGUUGACAGUGCAGUUGUUUGAGUCACACCACCCUGUGUUCAUUCUUCGGGCUCUUCUUCAGUCAGGCAUAUCUUCAAGGGUUAACUUUUAUUGUUGGAUCUAUUUUGUAAGUCAUUCAAUAUUGUCCAGUGGAUAGGGAUAAUUUUUCCCUCUUCCCUGACUCACUAUCCUUACACUUGUCAUUCAGGUGGUCACUGUCUUCACACGAGACAGCGUAACCAAUAAUUUCAAUAUUUUAUCUGUCAUUUUUUAUUAGAUAUUUUCAUUAUUUACAUUUCAAAUAUUAUCCCCUUUCCUAGUUUCCCCUCCGAAAAACCCCUAUCCUCUACCCCCUUCGCCUGCUCACCAGUGCACCCACUCCGAUUCCCAGUCCUGGCCUUCCCCUAUAUUGGGGCAUAGAACCUUCACAGGACCUAGGGCCUCUCUUCCCAUUGAUGACCGAUUAGGCCAUCCUCAGCUACAAAUACAACUAGAGCCACAUGUCCCACCAUGUGUUUUCUUUGAUUGGUGGUUUAGUUCCAAGGAGCUCUGGGGGUACUGGUUAGUUCUCCUUGGGUACUAUCUCUAGCUCAUUUACUGGAGACCUUGUGCUCUGUCCAAUGGAUGAUUGAAAGCAUCCAGUUCUUUACUUGCCAGGCACUGGCAAAGGCCUUUAGGAGACAGUUUUAUCGGACUCCUGUCAGCAGGCUCUUGUUGGCAUCUGCCAUAGUGUCUGGGUUUGGUGGUGGUUUAUGGGAUGGAUCCACAAGUGGGGCAGUCUCUGUAUGAUCCUUCCUUCAGACUCUGCUCUGAACUUUGUCUCUGUACUCCUUCCAUAGGUAUUUUGUUCCCCCUUCUAAGAAGGAUUCUGAGCUUCUGGGCUAAUAUCCACUUAUUAGUGAGUGCAUAUCAUGUGUGUUCUUUCGUGAUUGGGUUACCUCACUCAAGAUGAUAUCCUCCAGAUACAUCCAUUUGCCUAAGAAUUUCAUAAAUUCAUUGUUUUUAAUUGCUGAGUAGUACUCCAUUGUGUAAAUGUACCACAUUUUCUGUAACCAUUCCUCUGUUGAGGGACAUCUGGGUUCUUUCCAGCUUCUGUCUAUUCUAAAUAAGGCUGCUAUGAACAUAGUGGAGCAUGUGUCCUUAUUACUAGUUGGAGCAUCUUCUGGGUAUAUGUCCGGGAGUGGUAUUGCUGGAUCUUUCAGUAGAACUAUGUCCAAUUUUCUGAGAAACCACU
rnacentral:lncRNA from 1 species